CGACUCCUACGGGACGCAGCAGUGGGGGAUAUUGCACAAUGGGGGGAACCCUGAUGCAGCGACGCCGCGUGAGCGAAGAAGUACCUCGGUAUGUAAAGCUCUAUCAGCAGGGAAGAAAAUGACGGUACCUGACUAAGAAGCCCCGGCUAACUACGUGCCAGCAGCCGCGGUAAUACGUAGGGGGCAAGCGUUAUCCGGAUUUACUGGGUGUAAAGGGAGCGUAGACGGUGCAGCAAGUCUGAUGUGAAAGGUCGGGGCCCAACCCCGGGACUGCAUUGGAAACUGUUGAACUGGAGUACAGGAGA
rnacentral:rRNA from 1 species